rnacentral:rRNA from 1 species
UGUUCUAACGUGGACCCGUAAUCCGGGUUGCGGACAGUGUCUGGUGGGUAGUUUGACUGGGGCGGUCUCCUCCUAAAGAGUAACGGAGGAGCACGAAGGUUGGCUAAUCCUGGUCGGACAUCAGGAGGUUAGUGCAAUGGCAUAAGCCAGCUUGACUGCGAGCGUGACGGCGCGAGCAGGUGCGAAAGCAGGUCAUAGUGAUCCGGUGGUUCUGAAUGGAAGGGCCAUCGCUCAACGGAUAAAAGGUACUCCGGGGAUAACAGGCUGAUACCGCCCAAGAGUUCAUAUCGACGGCGGUGUUUGGCACCUCGAUGUCGGCUCAUCACAUCCUGGGGCUGAAGUAGGUCCCAAGGGUAUGGCUGUUCGCCAUUUAAAGUGGUACGCGAGCUGGGUUUAGAACGUCGUGAGACAGUUCGGUCCCUAUCUGCCGUGGGCGCUGGAGAACUGAGGGGGGCUGCUCCUAGUACGAGAGGACCGGAGUGGACGCAUCACUGGUGUUCGGGUUGUCAUGCCAAUGGCACUGCCCGGUAGCUAAAUGCGGAAGAGAUAAGUGCUGAAAGCAUCUAAGCACGAAACUUGCCCCGAGAUGAGUUCUCCCUGAGACUUAGAGUCUCCUGAAGGAACGUUGAAGACGACGACGUUGAUAGGCCGGGUGUGUAAGCGCAGCGAUGCGUUGAGCUAACCGGUACUAAUGAACCGUGAGGCUUAACCUUAC